GAUAAAGUGGCUGAAUUUUAGGCAAUAAAUUGUAAAUUUAUUUAUGGUGUAUUACCCUUUAUCA
rnacentral:tRNA from 1 species